CCACAUUGGGACUGAGACACGGCCCAGACUCCUACGGGAGGCAGCAGUGGGGAAUAUUGCACAAUGGGGGAAACCCUGAUGCAGCGACGCCGCGUGGAGGAAGAAGGUCUUCGGAUUGUAAACUCCUGUUGUUGAGGAAGAUAAUGACGGUACUCAACAAGGAAGUGACGGCUAACUACGUGCCAGCAGCCGCGGUAAAACGUAGGUCACAAGCGUUGUCCGGAAUUACUGGGUGUAAAGGGAGCGCAGGCGGGAGAACAAGUUGGAAGUGAAAUCCAUGGGCUCAACCCAUGAACUGCUUUCAAAACUGUUUUUCUUGAGUAGUGCAGAGGUAGGCGGAAUUCCCGGUGUAGCGGUGGAAUGCGUAGAUAUCGGGAGGAACACCAGUGGCGAAGGCGGCCUACUGGGCACCAACUGACGCUGAGGCUCGAAAGUGUGGGUAGCAAACAGGAUUAGAUACCCUGGUAGUCCACACCGUAAACGAUGAUUACUAGGUGUUGGAGGAUUGACCCCUUCAGUGCCGCAGUUAACACAAUAAGUAAUCCACCUGGGGAGUACGACCGCAAGGUUGAAACUCAAAGGAAUUGACGGGGGCCCGCACAAGCAGUGGAGUAUGUGGUUUAAUUCGACGCAACGCGAAGAACCUUACCAAGUCUUGACAUCCCUUGACGAUGCUGGAAACAGUAUUUCUCUUCGGAGCAAGGAGACAGGUGGUGCAUGGUUGUCGUCAGCUCGUGUCGUGAGAUGUUGGGUUAAGUC
rnacentral:rRNA from 1 species